CAAAUACUCCCUCCGUCCGGAAAUACUUGUCAUCAAAAUGGAUAAAACGAAAUGUAUCUAGACGUAUUUUAGUUUUAGAUACAUCUCUUUUUAUCCAUUUUGAUGACAAGUAUUUUCGGACGGAGGGAGUAGAAA
rnacentral:pre_miRNA from 1 species